UGGGGGAUAUUGCACAAUGGGCGAAAGCCUGAUGCAGCGACGCCGCGUGGGGGAUGAAGGCCUUCGGGUUGUAAACUUCUUUUGCUCUGAACAAGGCAUGCCUUUGGGGUGUGUUGAGUGUAGGGGUUGAUUAGCGCCGGCUAACUACGUGCCAGCAGCCGCGGUAAUACGUAGGGCGCGAGCGUUGUCCGGAAUUAUUGGGCGUAAAGGGCUUGUAGGUGGCUGGUUGCGUCUGUCGUGAAAGCUCAUGGCUUAACUGUGGGUUUGCGGUGGGUACGGGCUGGCUUGAGUGCAGUAGGGGGGGCUGGAAUUCCUGGGGUAGCGGUGGAAUGCGCAGAUAUCAGGAGGAAUACCGGUGGCGAAGGCGAGUCUCUGGGCUGUUACUGACGCUGAGGAGCGAAAACGUGGGGAGCGAACAGG
rnacentral:rRNA from 1 species